ACAUUUGGUCACACCAGUCCACAUUAACGUGGACCAGACAAUAUUAAUGUGGACUGGUGUGACCAAAA
ensembl:miRNA MIR4491 microRNA 4491